UACGAAGGGGGCUAGCGUUGCUCGGAAUCACUGGGCGUAAAGCGCACGUAGGCGGCUUGUUAAGUCAGGGGUGAAAUCCUGGAGCUCAACUCCAGAACUGCCUUUGAUACUGGCGAGCUUGAGUUCGGGAGAGGUGAGUGGAACUGCGAGUGUAGAGGUGAAAUGCGUAGAUAUUGGGAGGAACACCAGUGGCGAAGGCGGCUCACUGGACCGGUACUGACGCUGAUGCGCGAAAGCGUGGGGAGCAAACGGG
rnacentral:rRNA from 1 species